UACGUAGGGGCCUAGCGUUGUCCGGAUUUAUUGGGCGUAAAGAGCUCGUAGGCGGUUCGGUAAGUCAGGUGUGAAAUCUCGGGGCUUAACUCCGAAACUGCAUUCGAUACUGCCGUGCUUGAGGACUGGAGAGGAGACUGGAAUUUACGGUGUAGCGGUGAAAUGCGUAGAUAUCGUAAGGAAGACCAGUGGCGAAGGCGGGUCUCUGGACAGUUCCUGACACUGAGACACGAAGGCCAGGGGAGCAAACGGG
rnacentral:rRNA from 1 species